UACGAGGGGGGCAAGCGUUGUUCGGAAUUAUUGGGCGUAAAGGGCGCGUAGGCGGUGCGGUAAGUCACCUGUGAAACCUCUAGGCUUAACCUAGAGCCUGCAGGCGAAACUGCCGUGCUUGAGGGUGGGAGAGGUGCGUGGAAUUCCCGGUGUAGCGGUGAAAUGCGUAGAUAUCUGCAGGAACACCCGUGGCGAAAGCGGCGAGCUGGAUCACAACUGACGCUGAGGAACGAAAGCUAGGGGAGCAAACAG
rnacentral:rRNA from 1 species